UACAGGAGGUGCAAACGUUGCUCGGAAUUAUUGGGCGUAAAGCGCGUGUAGGCGGUCUUUUAGGCCGGUUGUGAAAUCCCAUGGCUCAACCAUGGAAGUGCAACCGGAACCGGGAGACUAGAGUCCUGACGAGGAUGGCGGAAUUCCUGGUGUAGCGGUGAAAUGCGCAGAUAUCGGGAGGAACACCGGUGGCGAAGGCGGAUCUCUGGGCCGACACUGACGCUGAUGCGCGAAAGCCAGGGGAGCGAACGGG
rnacentral:rRNA from 1 species